GUUAUUGGGAUUUAGAAUUUACUGUGAUCAUUUGCUUUCUUGCUAUUCCUAGAUAUUAUAAUGCUAUUUUUUCUAGCUUUGAGUUUUUUAUCAGUCUGUACCUAGGCAGAACUAAUGGAUGUACUGAAUAACAUAGGUUGAUUACUCAUCAGUUGUGUACCCAUGAAACUAUGGUUAUAUCCCACGAACCAUGCACGGGUUUGGUGCUCCGCUGUUCAAGUAUGGUGGUCCGAUGAAAGUUGUGAUUUUGAUGCAGGAUUCUCUGGUAUCUGCUGGAUCCAUCAUUCGUGCUCGUGCUAUUGGACUAUUGGCUAUGACCACUCAGGUCCCGCCCAGUCCAGGGAGGGUCGUUGGGUAGACCUUCCAAGAGAGGUGUUUUAAGAAGAUAUGAAGAUAGAACAUGCAGAGGACGAUAAGGCAGAGGUGUAAAACUAAAUGGUAUUUCAGAUUUGGAACGAUUUUAUGUUUUGUUCACUGGUAUAGCUUUGUUAACAUGGUAGCAGUUGCUUAUGCCUUAUAUGAUGUUUGAGAGUUUAUUUGAACUUAUUUUAUGACAUGAGAUUUUAUGCAAAUGUUUGGGAGCGCUUGUAUCUACUUAU